rfam:Populus trichocarpa isolate Nisqually-1 chromosome 15, whole genome shotgun sequence.
UAAUCUGAUUGGAGCAAAUCUUCAUAUAGUUGUGACAGAUCCACAUCUGACUGCUCAAAAUCACUUCUUAUCAUAGGCCCAACUAUAUUACUUAAGGUCUAGAUGAUGUUUGAUUGUUACCUUUAUUUGAAA